rnacentral:snoRNA from 1 species
AUUCUGUGAUGAGGGCACUUUCGUAAUGAUUCUUUAUACCUUUCCCAUGCCUCAUACAAUGACUAAUCAUCCAUUUGUUGGAAAGUAGUGAUCUCGUUCCUCAACUU